GACCCAGUGGCCUAAUGGGUAAGGCUUCAAGCUUUAAAGCUGGGGCCUGUGGGUUUAAGACCCACCUGGAUUG
rnacentral:tRNA from 1 species